CUGUCAAUGGUAAAACUUAAUGCCCACUAUACAAUGGCAUAGGCAUAACAAAAGCAACAUCUAAAGGGACAUAUAUGUAAAGCAGUACAUACAAUGGCACAUGUUUAAUAAUUAUAAAUAAAUAAGACAAUACGUGUUAUAAAUACUGACUUUAUUUUAUGUGAAAUGUUAUGUUUUAUACCAUGGAGAUAUGUCAAUGUACAAACUAAAUAUAACUGGGAUUCAAAUGAAAAAGAGAUAAUAUAAAAUAAAACUUUGAAAAAAUCAACAAGUCUACAUAAUUAAACUGUUAAAUCUGUCACAUUCAUUGACAUUUAACCUUUGACAUUUAACCUUCAUAGUUCACCUCCUACUCGUAGGGUAGCAGACUACUGUACUGUCUUACAAUAGUGUACAUGGUAUUUGCUAUACUGUAAAUUCAGAAAUUACAGCGAGGUUUUUAUUAUUGAGAAAAAUGUGGCAGAGUUGAAAACGCAAUAAUUUAAACUUGCAUUUUGAAAUAUUUCAUAUGAAUUAAACAGUUUUUUUUCUUCUCAAAAUUGUAAAAAUUUAAAUUGCAUUUAAAUCUAAAAUAACAAAAUCCCAAGUAUAAAUGCAUGCAAUAAUUUCUGAAUUUACUGUAUUCAAUAUCAUGUCAUGAUUCUUUUGAGUCUACACUAGUUAUAAAUGAUAAUAAAACAGAAAACUUAUUAAAUGAAUGUUUCUGUAGAUUUCUGAUUUCAUU
rnacentral:lncRNA from 1 species